rnacentral:lncRNA from 1 species
CAUAAUUGAGUACAAUUAUAAAAGUUAUAAUCAUUGUUUUUCACACAGCCCCACAAAUGUAAGAACUUUUUGUUACAUUCAACGUUGUAAUUGCUAUAUUUCUAAUAUGGGUGAAGAAUCAGUGAAUGGUACAUGAGGUAAGAAAUAAAGGAAAAAAAAAAAACCAAUAUUGUGAGAGCACAAAAGGACAAAGGUAUCAACAAUGGAACCCAUCAAAGGACCUAACCAAUUAUUUCCAUAAAUCUCUGGUCCAUUAAACCAAAAAGCAAAACAAGUGUAUGGUUCUGUACCAAUAGAUUCCCUUUUUAUUCAUAUUUUUAGUUGUUUUAUUUAUUUAUAUUUUUUUAAUAAGUAAUUGAUGUUUCCUACCAACUUGAAAGAAAAAGCCUAGACAAGUGUAUGGUUUAUUAAAACCAAAAAAAAAAAAAAAAAGUGUCUGGUUUAUGUAGUACUUUAGUUUUCACUUUCUAUCAUUUUAAGAGAAUUCCACUUAACGUAUACAGUUCCCUGACAUAAUGUAAGGUAUUAACAUUUUAGUACUCUGAAAC